rnacentral:rRNA from 1 species
AUUGAACGCUGGCGGCAUGCCUAACACAUGCAAGUCGAACGGCAGCACGGCAGUAGCAAUACUGUGGGUGGCGAGUGGCGGACGGGUGAGGAAUACGUCGGAAUCUGCCCAGUCGUGGGGGAUAACUAGCCGAAAGGUUAGCUAAUACCGCAUACGACCGAGAGGUGAAAGCGGGGGACCGGCAAGGCCUCGCGCGAUUGGAUGAGCCGACGUCGGAUUAGCUAGUUGGUGGGGUAAAGGCCCACCAAGGCGACGAUCCGUAGCUGGUCUGAGAGGAUGAUCAGCCACACUGGAACUGAGACACGGUCCAGACUCCUACGGGAGGCAGCAGUGGGGAAUAUUGGACAAUGGGCGCAAGCCUGAUCCAGCAAUGCCGCGUGUGUGAAGAAGGCCUUCGGUUGUAAAGCACUUUAUUCAGGAACGAAAGACGUUGGAGUUAAUACUACUUGACGUGCGUGAC